rnacentral:rRNA from 1 species
CCUACGGGUGGCAGCAGUGGGGAAUAUUGCACAAUGGGGGAAACCCUGAUGCAGCAACGCCGCGUGGGUGAAGGAGCGUUUCGGCGCGUAAAGCCCUGUCAGCGGGGAAGAAGAAAGACGGUACCCGACCAAGAAGCCCCGGCUAACUACGUGCCAGCAGCCGCGGUAAUACGUAGGGGGCGAGCGGUAUCCGGAAUUACUGGGUGUAAAGGGAGCGUAGACGGCGAGGUAAGCCUGAAGUGGAAGCCCGGGGCCCAACCGCGGAACUGCUUUGGGGAAGGUUUGGCUGGAGGAGGGGAGGGGUAGGGGGAAUGCGUGGUGGAGCGGUGAAAAGCGUAGAGAUCAGAAGGAAGACCGAGGGCGAAGGCGGCUUACUAAACCAUAACGGACGUUGAGGCACGAAAGCGUGGGGAGCGAACAGGAUUAGAUACCAGGGUAGGC